ensembl:lncRNA
GUCAGGAGAGAGGCUGUAAAUCUUCGAUGAGGACAUCAUUGAUGUUUGGGAUGUGGUUUUCUGUUUGGCUUUUGAUGGAGGUAACUUCAGCAAUACGGAUUGAAUCAAGCCCCUUACUGUAAUAGGCUUUUUGACAAAUCAGGAUAAAAUGGUCUGGUGGGUCCUGUGGCGAUGGUUAUUACCAUCAGGCAUUUUUACAGCCUUCUAAGCCUCACAUAUUUCAGCCUGUACGCCAGACUUCCUAAAGGAUCUCCUUCACUGUCACAUGUGUCUGGGUCUAGUAAAAUAAGCACUCAGCUCGUAAACCGGCCAAUGAGCAGACCCCAAAUAGCCACUUCUGCCAGCCUGACUGACAGAAGCCCUAAAGAGACGUGUUCGAAGAUGGAGGGAAGCUAGUCACAUGGAGAUUGAGGAGGCAGUCAAUCAAAGAGAAUGGCUACAUCUACCAGAAACAUUGACUGCAAUGUGCUUCUGUUGUCUUCUUGUCCUCCUCUGAGGAAACAACAGCUUUUUUUUUUGUCAGCCUCAUGUUGAAGUUGCUUUCUCUGACUAUAUUUCUAAAAGGCACAACAAACCUGCUGCGUUCUCUGUCUACCUACUUUCCUACUUUAGUACCCCAUCUCCCAGCGUGUGUGUGUGUUUGUGUGUGUGUGUGUGUGUGUGUGCGCACACCCUGUCUCCUGCGGUCUGCGUGCUGUAACGCUGUUCUGGUCUCCAGUAAAUCCAAACCACUACCAGGUGUACACACAGAGCCUAGGCUGAGCUGAGCAUACGGCCACAGCUGCUCUGUCUGUGUGUAGUUCUGUGUUUGUGUAUGCAUGUGUGAGUAGAAUGAAGUUGUCAUUAGCCGCUGAUCUAAAGUCAGAUUUUUACAUUUUUCACCCCGAUGCUAAAAAAACGUAAGCUGAUCCUAGAUCUGUACUUAAGGGGCAACCCGUAGUGAUUUAUAGAGCUGCCACCGCAUCAUAGACAUUCUUGUGUAGAGCCGUGCCCCGGUACAGCAGACCAGAGCUCUGUGUGCCAAACGACGCUAUGUUCCCAGCUUCCUCUAUUCCCACGCUUUCCUCUGUUCUGCCAACUGGGAACAUACCUCCCCGUUCACAUCAUUAUGAGAAUAAUAGUCCAACUCUCUCUCUCUCUCUCUCUCUCUCUCUCAUGAUUUCUUGAUGUGCAGUAGGCCUACUUAAUGUAAAACGUGUGGUGUACUGUUACUAUAUGUUAGUUAAAGAAAGUAUACUCUCGUUACAUUGUCCGUCCAUCAUUUGGGUUAGUCAGUCGGGUUAACAACUGUUAUGAGAAUAUAAGAUGGCGAAUACAGUAGGUAAGAGGUACGAGGUAGGGAGUUCUACUCUCCUGUCCUUGACCGUUAUCAGAGCUGAAGGGAUAUCAAAGCACACAUUCUUCAGCAGAGAGACUGAAAACACUUUGAGACACUUUGAAACACUCCUGUCCAAAAGGCUCAGAGCAAGCUAUACCUCCAGGUGUGUGUGUUUGUGUCUGACAGGAAGGGAGAGCGCAGGGCAGCAGGAACCUCUGUUUUCCAGCUAACACCUUGUUUACCAGCGUAAACGACAGUCAGAGAGGGGUAGAGACUAGAGAGCCUGGUUGAGACACACGACACAGCUGACAUUCAGAGGGGGGUAGAGACUAGAGAGCCUGGUUGAGACACACGACACAGCUAACAGUCAGAGAGGGGUAGAGACUAGAGAGCCUGGUUGAGACACAGCUAACAGUCAGAGGGGGUUAGAGACUAGAGAGCCUGGUUGAGACACACGACACAGCUAACAGUCAGAGAGGGGUAGAGACUAGAGAGCCUGGUUGAGACACACGACACAGCUAACAGUCAGAGGGGGUAGAGACUAGAGAGCCUGGUUGAGACACACGACACAGCUAACAGUCAGAGGGGGGUAGAGACUAGAGAGCCUGGUUGAGACACACGACACAGCUAGCAGAGACACAUCUGUACCUGGUCACAUUAUAAUGCCCUAACAGGUGAUACACAACUGCUAGUGUGUGUGUGUGUGUGUGUGUGUGUGUGUGUGUGUGUGUGUGUGUGUGUGUGUGAGAGACAGAGAGAUGUUUGCUGCUGAAAGGUUUCACUUAUCAGCAACGUCAACCUAUGCUUAAUGGAAAACCUUCUAGUUUGAAGUUAAGACAAGGGCAAAGUGAAA